rnacentral:pre_miRNA from 1 species
AGUACAAUUUCUGGAUCAUAUGGUAAGAGUAUGUUUAAUUUUGUAAGAAAUUGAUAAACUGUCUUCUAAAACGGCUGUACCAUUUUGCAUUCCCACCAGGAAU